rnacentral:tRNA from 1 species
GGGGGUUUAGCUCAUUUGGCUAGAGCGCGACACUGGCAGUGUCGAGGUAACCGGUUCGACUCCGGUAAUCUCCAC